GUGCUGGUGCCUGGUGGGUCGACGUUUCUGCUGCUCUCUGAGUCGACUUCACUUUGAAAUUUGACGCCGAGCGCAGCGGAACAUUCAACGGGACACGGCCGGUUUGCCGCUGUUGGUGCUGCUGGUUUUGCUAUCUUCCACCCGACCGUCGCCACCACGCAGCUGACGUCGUCGCUGCGGCAGAGCAGCAACCAUUAUCCUGCAGGAUUCUGCGACGGCCCUGGGAUCAGGCCCUCAUUCAGGGCCAUUCAUUAAAAUGGCUGCAAAAAUAAAGCGACAAAAAACCGCUAAACGGUGCAAAAAGUGAUACAAAAAUUAAAACCCCCCCUAGAAAAUCAUCCCAGUGAUAAUAAAAAACGCUUAAAGCCUUCCAAGCCCAGACAAUGGCAAGGAUUUAAUGUUAAAUAUUGGUUUCAAUCAGGUAUGUUCAAAAAUUAAACUAUAUUAAAUGGAAACUCAACGAAAAAAACGAUUCAAAGCUAAAGUCAGAGCCAAAGGACACACUCGUACGCAUGUGCCAGAGACAGGAGCGAGGGAGCAGGGACAGGCGGAGUGAGGUGUGGAAAGGAUAGAGCAGCAGGCGUUGAGGGGGGGGAGACCGAGUGGCACAGGAGCGUAAGGGGGUGCUUGAGUCAAUUGCCAUUUCCAAAGCCUGCGCCUGUCCUCGUUUUGACUCGUCGUCGCCUCUGUAUGUAUAUGUGUGUGUAUCUGUGUGUCGCCCCUGUGGUUCUGUGUGUGUUCGCGUUUUUGCAUUAGUGUAAGUGUCGCGCGCCCGGAAAUGUGCAAAGGCAAAGCAGCAGGAGCCGCAGCAGUCGAAGCUCUCCUUUCAUCCACUUUUCAUUUGCGCAGAAAACCGAACGCAAACUUCCCACCCUCUCGCCACACCUCCCCCCCUUCAACACAGGAAAAGCAAGUGGCAGGAGUACGACACACACACACACACACAAAAAAAGGAAGAAGCCCGAAUUUCAACCUCGUUGUCGCGCUAUCAGGGACAUGAACAGCAGCAACAAUAACUACUUGAGUCCACUCCCCUCCCCAGGUUGGCUGCCACAGGCAGACCAACCCCCCUGUAGUGCUUUCGGUGGGCCGGGAAACACUUGUCCCGCCAUUUAGUGCAUGGGUUAAGUAGUAUACCGAAAUAUUAGUGGGGCGGGAGGACAAGCAGCGGCGACAGCUGCUCCAUAAACCCCAAAAUAGGAACACCCAAAAGCCAGAGGAAAAAGGCGCUUUCCAUCCAACCUACAGGCAAAGAGUAUUCCCAUCUACAGCCAAAAGGCACUAGGACCCCAUCAUCAUGAUGAUGAUGAUGAUGAAGAUGCAGAUACGGCAAGUGGCAAAGUGUUAAGUUAGAAGGAGACUGGGAGUGGGUCUGAGGACUGCGAUUGGCAGCAUCUGCAGCAGAUAUAGAGAUGGCGCGAUGCUGAGAUGUAGAGAUGAAGAUGAUGAUGAUUAUUACGUUGACCCAACCCGUGGCUGCUGCGGAUGCAGCGGCUGCACUUAAUGCGUACAUACUGAGGGAAUGUACAUACAUAAAUUGUACAUAUGCAUGUACAUAGCUACACCCGUGGUACAUCUGUGCAUAUAUUGAGUGUGGAUGCGCGUAAGGUGCGUAAACUCUGAGGUUCGGGGAUGCGCAGGCAGCAAUAUGUCGACCACCAGAGCUCGCCACACUUUUGGCUAAGGUCAAAACGGCUCAGUGCGGGCAGCUCCCUUAAUGUUUGGAAAAUAAACCCAUUUUCCCUAUUUUUUGUACGAGCAUAUGCAAAUUGUUGAACGGCAAAACCGGCAACUGACUAAUAGCCAAAACGAGAAUAUCAUUGAAAAAUAAAAAACUUGCUGGGUCACACUUGAAUUAUCAAUAGAAAAAACCACCAACUUUUAUUGCUUUUUUAUGCAUUUGUGCGCUGUCUUGAUUAUAAUGAUUAUAUUAUAUUGAGUUCCAGUUCGAGUAGGUUUUUGUAUUUUAUGACUAAUUCCGUAUGGGUGACGACUCGAAGAUAAAGACCGAGACCUGUUUACUGACGUUUCUUUAUGGCAUAGAAAUCUGUUUGAUAGGGCUAUGAUGUUGUCUCUUGGAUAUUUAUUAAAUGUUAAAACAUUUAACCAGGGACUAGGAGAAGAAAAAGAGAUUAGAAAUGAAUUCCUAAGAGAGUGGGCUGGGAAUUGUGCAAACUCUUAUAAAUAUGCAUAGGCGGCUGGCAGUGUGAAGCAUUUUUAGAUUCAAAUCAGAAAAAUGUCAAAGAAAAGACAGCUUCGGUGAUGCCAGUUCUGUGUUAAUGGGUCACCAACUGACGUUGUGUUGCGUAAGUUGUGUGAAUUUCAACGCAAAAGAACCAAAACAGUGACUAAACCCACAAAAAUUCCCACAAAAUUCGCAAAACUUGAAAACCAUAAAAUCCCCGGAGAAUUUAAUUUCCCCCAACUAUUAAAACAUGCCGCACCCAUGCAUAUGGUGCAUUUUUCCCAUAUCCAAAAAAAAACACCCCAAAACCCCAACAUUAUCAAGAACCACCCUGAGGGGAAUCGAAUUGAGGUGGGAACUUCUAUCCACCCAUUUCAAGUAGCUGCAGUAUGACAUAUUUAUUGGAAUUUCAUGCAAAUUUUCAAACAAUCAACUGGGCAAAUGCAGCUGUCUUGAAAGAGAGCUUGCAAUCAACAGAGAACCCUCGGAGAAAUGUGCUCUCUAUGUCCACAGAGAACCCGAACCCUCGGAGAACUGUCCGCGGGGCAGCAACACAGACACAGACAAGAGUUGCCCGCGCAUUUUCAUUAAGCCCGACGUAAAGAUAAAUUAAGACACUAAAACGAAAUAAAAUACAAAAACUGUAGAACAGAGACAAAGAAACUGAAACAAAAACAAAAACGAAAACGAAAACAACAAGAAGAACCCAUAAAGGAAGGCGCGUAUUUUCGUAAACAACAAACAGGCACCGACAAGAUCGAGAGAACGAAC
rnacentral:lncRNA from 1 species